GAUGAACGCUGGCGGCGUGCCUAAUACAUGCAAGUCGAACGAGUUCUCGUUGAUGAUCGGUGCUUGCACCGAGAUUCAACAUGGAACGAGUGGCGGACGGGUGAGUAACACGUGGGUAACCUGCCCUUAAGUGGGGGAUAACAUUUGGAAACAGAUGCUAAUACCGCAUAGAUCCAAGAACCGCAUGGUUCUUGGCUGAAAGAUGGCGUAAGCUAUCGCUUUUGGAUGGACCCGCGGCGUAUUAGCUAGUUGGUGAGGUAAUGGCUCACCAAGGCGAUGAUACGUAGCCGAACUGAGAGGUUGAUCGGCCACAUUGGGACUGAGACACGGCCCAAACUCCUACGGGAGGCAGCAGUAGGGAAUCUUCCACAAUGGACGCAAGUCUGAUGGAGCAACGCCGCGUGAGUGAAGAAGGCUUUCGGGUCGUAAAACUCUGUUGUUGGAGAAGAAUGGUCGGCAGAGUAACUGUUGUCGGCGUGACGGUAUCCAACCAGAAAGCCACGGCUAACUACGUGCCAGCAGCCGCGGUAAUACGUAGGUGGCAAGCGUUAUCCGGAUUUAUUGGGCGUAAAGCGAGCGCAGGCGGUUUUUUAAGUCUGAUGUGAAAGCCCUCGGCUUAACCGAGGAAGCGCAUCGGAAACUGGGAAACUUGAGUGCAGAAGAGGACAGUGGAACUCCAUGUGUAGCGGUGAAAUGCGUAGAUAUAUGGAAGAACACCAGUGGCGAAGGCGGCUGUCUGGUCUGUAACUGACGCUGAGGCUCGAAAGCAUGGGUAGCGAACAGGAUUAGAUACCCUGGUAGUCCAUGCCGUAAACGAUGAAUGCUAGGUGUUGGAGGGUUUCCGCCCUUCAGUGCCGCAGCUAACGCAUUAAGCAUUCCGCCUGGGGAGUACGGCCGCAAGGUUGAAACUCAAAGGAAUUGACGGGGGCCCGCACAAGCGGUGGAGCAUGUGGUUUAAUUCGAAGCAACGCGAAGAACCUUACCAGGUCUUGACAUCUUUUGAUCACCUGAGAGAUCAGGUUUCCCCUUCGGGGGCAAAAUGACAGGUGGUGCAUGGUUGUCGUCAGCUCGUGUCGUGAGAUGUUGGGUUAAGUCCCGCAACGAGCGCAACCCUUAUGACUAGUUGCCAGCAUUUAGUUGGGCACUCUAGUAAGACUGCCGGUGACAAACCGGAGGAAGGUGGGGAUGACGUCAAAUCAUCAUGCCCCUUAUGACCUGGGCUACACACGUGCUACAAUGGAUGGUACAACGAGUUGCGAGACCGCGAGGUCAAGCUAAUCUCUUAAAGCCAUUCUCAGUUCGGACUGUAGGCUGCAACUCGCCUACACGAAGUCGGAAUCGCUAGUAAUCGCGGAUCAGCACGCCGCGGUGAAUACGUUCCCGGGCCUUGUACACACCGCCCGUCACACCAUGAGAGUUUGUAACACCCGAAGCCGGUGGCGUAACCCUUUUAGGGAGCGAGCCGUCUAAGGUGGGACAAAUGAUUAGGGUG
rnacentral:rRNA from 1 species